CAAAUCCCCUCUAACAAGCCAUUCCUGAAUUGUUUUCAUCCGCCAGUUGUUCUCUUAUCAUGAGAGAAUUAACCACAGGAUCAGUGUAACCGCAUCCCUGACCAGGUGAUCACAGUGACUGUCUCCUGCACAGAUCUCAAACUCCACGCCUGUCCUCCCACCCCAUCAUGGUCCCUAAAAAUGGCAAAAUUAAUCUCUUUCCCUUUGAUACUCUCACGUCAACAAGUAUGUUGCUGUUCAAGAUGUUUGUCAAAGUACAGAAAC
rnacentral:lncRNA from 1 species